AAUUAAAAUUUUUAGAAAAAUUGAAGAAGAUCACUUACUCAAUAAGAAGAAACAUAAACAAGAAAACCUUACUUGUUGGCCUCGAGUUCAUCUUCCUUCAACCUCAUUUUUGCAGUAGCAUGGUUAGCACGAGGGUCUCGAAUCCGCACACCACAAGGUCUCGAAAUGGCAUCUUCCAUAGACACGUCUUCACCACCAUUCUCUUUCCCAAGUGCGACCUUAUCAUACUCAUCUUCUUCGUCCUGCGUCAAGAAGCAAAAAUUUCAAGCCGUGAAGAAUUGUUUCAACGGUUUAUGAAUUAAAAAAAAUUGUUUCACAACAAAAGGUAUAGAAACAAUGCUCAGUAUCAAAGAAAACGAGAUGUUCUCCUACUAAGCCUACGACUGUUAACAAUAAAAAUUGAAAAUUCAAGAACCUUCAAUUGGAAACUGAUACGAACCUUUUAAUUUGCAAAAGAACUAGAAAAUUUAGGCUACCAUUUCUCUUAACACUAAGCUAAAUCUCUCUUGAAGAUUAAAAUUAAUUCAAACUGAUACGAACCUUAGUCUAAAUCUUUUAAUUCUUCAUGUGUGAACAAAGGUUCAUAUCAAGAUCAUUGUGUUGAAAGUUCACGUACUACAAAACCUAACGAUCUUCCAGGCUAAUGAUAUGAAUACAUAUGAAUUCAAUUGUUCCCUAGUUUUACUCAAGCGUUUCCUAACUUGCACAAUCGUUACCUAACCAAAACAAUUUAAAGAGGAAUUGAUUAUACCUCAUCAUCGAGAGUACGGUCAAGGCCCAUGGAUGCUCUGAUGCUCCAAUCAUCAUCCUCAUCACCAAAAUCCUCGUCACCACCUUACUCACCCUCCUUCCGAUCAGUGCUCGAGAUCCUCUGCUGCCUCAUAAUCUCGUCGAAUGAUGACGCACAAGGCAUCUCUUCCCUAUCGUACGAAGCGAGCUGCUCUCGCUUCCACUCCCGCUUCUCCACUUCUGUGCCACACCGAGCCCGAUUGCGUUUGCCGCAGCGGCGGAGCAGAAGACGUGGAGGUAGUAGAAGACGUGGAGCAGGAGAAGGCGAGAGAUUCGAAGAUCCUCUCGACGCGAGACUGAAAAUCUUCGUCGGCCAUCGCAAAUCGAGUUGGAGGAAGAAAGGAAAAAAAAAGAAUCACAAAAGCCGACACGUGUAAUAAGAGUCCCCUUUGCGAUUGGUUCCAAAAACGCUUAAUUAAGGAUUGGUUAUCCUUAUUUCUUUUCAUUUUGAUUUACUUAAAUGCCUUCUUUUGUUUAAAAACCCAUCUUAGAAACUUCAUUAAUGAUGCUCUAAGAUGCUAGUAUAAAAAAAAAAGAAUGUUGUCGUCAGACCCAAUUAAUACUCCCUUUGUUUCAUUAUAAGUGUCAUUUGAGACUUUUGCACACAGAUUAAGAAAUCAUUUAAUUUUGCAUGUUUUCCAUAUAAAAAUGUUAUUACCCAUACACCUACUCCUAUUUCAACCACAGAAAAAUAAAUUGCAGAAUAAAGUUAAUAAAUUAUGCAUCGAAAUACUAAAACGACACUUAUUUUGCAACGAAUUUUUUUUUCUAUAACGACACUUAAUAUGAAACGGAGGGAGUAAAAUAUAAUAUCGUUAUUCGUUACUAUUCCCUAGCUCUUAAUGCCAACUCGUUUACUAUCUGGAUUUGUGUUAAAUUGUAUAAGUGUCACUUUGGUAUCGAGGUAUGGUGGUAUGGUAGUUGAGACUUUGCGAAAAGUUUUAGGGUAGUAUAUUCUACGUGUAUGUUUAUGAAACGGUGAAAGAAAAAUAAGAACGGUAAAAAAUAUUAAAAUAGUAUGGCUUAAAGGCAUUAAGGCCAUAAGAAAUCGUCGACGUCUUUUUUACUCAUUCGAGUCAAUUAUUAAAAUUUUAACGAACGAGAAAGUGGAAAUAUUUUUUAUAAACGUAUUUUAUCUAUUUAUUUAAGAAGAAGAAGAUGAACAUGUCCAUCCUUUAUAUCAAUGACCUUCGAGAAAAAACACCAUUGCUCCCACUUAGAGAGAGAGAGAGAGAGAAAGAAAGAGAGUUCUUCACAGGCUCAGAGCAACUAGAGAAAGGAUCCAAAGGGAUCGCAUUGAUCCUAAUUAAGCUGAAUUUAUUCCCAAAUAAUUGUUAUAUUUUUCUCAAUCUAAAGAAAAAGUCCCAAAAAUCUGCUUCGUUUUCAGGAUCAUGCGAUCUAUUUGGAUUCAUCCUUUGGUUGCUUCCAUUUUGGUCAAAGUGUUUCACUGCCGGGGACUUCACCGGCGGGAAAAUCUCCAGUGGGUCGAUCCAUGCCUCUUGGUCAGCGCAGGGAACUAGCCAACUUGGUGCAAAACAGUUGACGAAUGGGGACCCAAAAACUCGUGAUCUUCCUCCUUUAGCAAGGGAGUCAUCACGAACGUUCAUCGAUCUUGGAAUAUAUGCUACAGAGACCUCAGUAAAAACAGCAGAAAGGACUUUAAUCUCAUCUACUGCUUUUUUUGUUUUUAAGUUUAUAACUUUGGUUUUUCUUUCCAUUUUAUGUAAUCUCUUAUAUGUUAAAAGAUAAGCAUUUGCAAUAAAUGUUUUCACACACA